rnacentral:rRNA from 1 species
UACGUAGGGUGCGAGCGUUGUCCGGAAUUACUGGGCGUAAAGGGCGCGUAGGCGGCUUUUUAAGUCAGACGUGAAAUCCCCCGGCUUAACCUGGGAACUGCGUCUGAUACUGGGAAGCUUGAGUUCGGGAGAGGGAUGUAGAAUUCCAGGUGUAGCGGUGAAAUGCGUAGAUAUCAGGAGGAAUACCGAUGGCGAAGGCAGGUCUCUGGGCUGACACUGACGCUCAUGCACGAAAGCGUGGGGAGCAAACAGG